rnacentral:rRNA from 1 species
GAUGAACGCUGACAGAAUGCUUAACACAUGCAAGUCUUUGGUGAAGCUGUGCUUGCACAGCCUAGCCAAGGCGGACGGGUGAGUAACGCGUAAGGAACUUGCCCUGCAGUCAGGGAUAACAGACGGAAACGACUGAUAAGACCUGGUAAAGUCAGGCGGACUCAUGUCCAGCCUGAUGAAAAGAGAUGCUGCAGGAGAGCCUUGCGUCCUAUUAGCUUGUUGGUGGGGUAACGGCCCACCAAGGCAAUGAUAGGUAGCCGGCCUGAGAGGGUGGACGGCCACAAGGGGACUGAGAUACGGCCCUUACUCCUACGGGAGGCAGCAGUGGGGAAUAUUGGACAAUGGGGGCAACCCUGAUCCAGCAAUUCUGUGUGCACGAUGAAGGUUUUCGGAUUGUAAAGUGCUUUCAGCAAGGAAGAAAAAAAUGACGGUACCUGCAGAAGAAGCGACGGCUAAAUACGUG